AAUAACAUCAGCGAUCAGAGACAUGCAAAGUGGAAAAUCUCUGGGCAGCUUUCAGACAGAAUUUUUCAAAAUAUUUUCAGGUCUACUCUCUCCUUUGUUGCUGUCUGUGUUUGAAAAAUCCCUCACUGCAAAAAUGAUUCCCCUGUCUGUUAUUUCUCUGUUGCCUUAAACAGGAUAAGGACCCUCUUGAAUGCCCUGUUUCUCUUCUGAACACAGAUGUCAAAAUCCUUGCAAAGGUGUUGGCGCGUCAUCUAGAAAGGGUGGCUCUGAAAAUGAUCUCUCCUGACCAAACAGGUGACACUCCUGUCUCCUUCGGUGCCAGUGCACAGCUGGCUCCACUCAGCAAAAAGGAAAAGCUGGGGAGAAGUGCUGCCCAGCCCCAGAUUUACUGUCAACUUUCCUUUGGUGAUGGCUUUGAUGAACCUAAUAGCUUAGCUGUUUCUGAAUACCCUGCUUUAUAACCUUUUUGUCAUGGUCCUGGGUCGAGCGACCCAGUGUUUGAGUUUUAUGUAUCUUUUGUAUUCAUUUGUGCCCUAGUUUAGUUCAGCUAGUUUAUUUUGAGAUUGCUGUUUAGUCCUUUGUUUCUUAGUUGUUUAUGUCAUCUCCCCCUGUACUCCGUCUCCCUGGUUCAUGCGUGUAUUUAUGCGUUAUGUGUAUUUAGUCUCUGUGUUUCAUUCAGUCUGCGUCGCGUCGUCUGUGUUUCCACCCUCCAUGUCCUCAUGGCCAGUCUUUACAGUCAUCGUCAUGGUUUUCUGAGUCUUCUUAGUUUAUCAGUAUCUGUUUCCCAGUUUAGCUUAAGUUCUAUUUAGUCACGGUAUUUCUGCUUUGUUUGAGACCUGUCAUCAGCCAUAAUAAAGGCUCGCUUUCAGUUCCAGUUUACUCCGGUCUACUCUCUUGUGUUCGCACCUGGGUCC